GCGAAGUCGCGAGGCUAAGCUAAUCUCUUAAAGCUUCUCUCAGUUCGGAUUGUAGGCUGCAACUCGCCUACAUGAAGCCGGAAUCGCUAGUAAUCGCGGAUCAGCACGCCGCGGUGAAUACGUUCCCGGGCCUUGUACACACCGCCCGUCACACCACGAGAGUUUGUAACACCCGAAGUCGGUGAGGUAACCUUUUUGGAGCCAGCCGCCUAAGGUGGGAUAGAUGAUUGGGGUGAAGUCGUAACAAGGUAGCCGUAUCGGAAGGUGCGGCUGGAUCACCUCCUUUCUAAGGAA
rnacentral:rRNA from 1 species